UGCCAGCCGCCGCGGUAAUACGGAGGGGGCUAGCGUUGUUCGGAAUUAUUGGGCGUAAAGGGCGCGCAGGCGGUCUUGUCCGUCUGGCGUGAAAGCCCGGGGCUCAACCCCGGAAGUGCGUUGGAUACUGGCAGUCUUGAGUAUGGGAGAGGAAAGUGGAAUUCCGAGCGUAGGAGUGAAAUCCGUAGAUAUUCGGAGGAACACCAGUGGCGAAGGCAGCUUUCUGGACCAAUACUGACGCUGAGAUGCGAAAGCGUGGGGAGCGAACAGGAUUAGAUA
rnacentral:rRNA from 1 species